rnacentral:rRNA from 1 species
AUGGAGAGGGCUGACCCAAUGUUGGCGAUGUCGUCGAGCACAGGCGUCGUAGCUAAUAGCUCGUCAAAUGCUCUGGCGGUUGGUCUUUGGGAUGCCCAGCAGUUGGGGGUGAUGUCUUCCAGCAAUGUUUCCCCUGCUGCCACUGGCGGGGACACAAAGCCGGCGCCCAUAAAUCCCCUGCUACUGGCAUCGGCGAGUGUUGGCUCCUGGACGGCACUGAAUUAUCUUCUCAGCAAGGAAGACAAACAAGCAUCACCAAUGGUCCAGCCUACUCAGGUAUUUCUUGACUUGCUCGUGGGAUAUCCUACCAGCAAUAGCACCAAGGGAAGAUUCACGGUGCAACAAGCUUCUGAAGAUGUAGAAAAUGUGGUUGAUCAGCCUGCUUCAACCACGGCUGGUCUGCUUCUCAACGGCGUCACCGCCGAGGGGGACACCGCACUGCAUGUGGUUGCCAGCCAUGGGGACGACAAGAAAUUCUUGAAGUGUGCAAUCAUCAUCUUCAAAAGGGACCAAGACCUCCUGUUUGCAGUGAAUAAUAAGGGUGACACGCCCUUGCAUUGUGCCGCCAGAGCCGGUAAGUUCCAAAUGCUCUCUAUUCUUGUUGAACUUGCUGAAAGUUGCAACAGGUUCCACGAGUUCCUGAGAAAGGAGAAUGUGCUUAAGGAGACAGCCUUGCAUGAUGCUGUCCGUAUUGGAAAUCAGGAUAUUGUGGAAGGUCUGUUGAAGGCUGAUCCUGACUUGGCCAAUUAUCCUAAAGAAGGCACUUCCCCAUUGUACCUAGCAAUUUCACUUCAAAGAUAUAGUAUCGCACGGACCCUACAUGACAAGAGCAAUGGAAAUCUCUCAUACAGUGGACCCCAUGGCCAAAAUGCGCUACAUGCUGCGACUUUUCGAACCAUAGGGAUCACAAAACAUAUUUUGAACUGGAAUAAUAGCCUAACCACUCAUGGGGACGGAGAUGGGAAUACACCUCUUCACUUUGCUUCAGUUUUCGAGCAUCCUGAUGGAGUCAGACUAUUCAGACAAUUAUUAGAAGCUAAUCCGUCACCAGUAUAUCAAGCAAACAACAGCGGAUCAUUCCCCAUACAUGUUGCUGCCACCAUGGGUGCGAAAGAUGUCCUAAACAUUAUACUUGAGAAGUUUCCUAGUAGUGCUGGCUUGCGCACUGCUCAAGGACGGACAUUCCUUCAUGUCGCCAUUGAGAAAAAAAGACUGAACAUAGUCUCCUUUGCUUGCCAAACUCCAUCACUAAAGUGGAUUUUGAAUAUGCAAGACAGUGAUGGGAACAGUGCACUGCAUUUAGCAGUCAAGAAUGCAAUGUUUCAUAAUUUAUGUUCUCUAUGUGGUAAUAUGGAAGUGGACUUAAGUUUAGCAAACAACAAUAAGCAGACUCCUAUUGAUUUAUCCAGAAGCUUGUUUCCUCGUGGACUGAAUCAUGUUUGGAAUAGUGACCAGAUGAUAUAUGUGGCACUCAACUUGGUUGGUGCUAAAAAUAGUUCCGUUCUCUUGGAUCAUAUUGUAGAAAGGGACAGUUUUCGAGUAAAACCAGAGGAUGAGGUCAAAGAAGCACAGAAGAUGAAAGAGGCAAGCCAAAUGCUAGGCAUUGGUUCAGUUUUAAUAGCAACUGUAUCAUUCGGUGCAACUUUUGCUGUCCCUGGAGGUUUCAUAGCAGAUGAUCAUACAAAUCGAGGCACACCAACACUUGCUGGAAGGUAUACGUUUGAUGCAUUCAUGAUGGCAAACGCAUUAGCUUUUCUUUGCUCCUCAAUAGCUACUAUUGCUCCAAUGUUCACUGGAUCUCCUUUGGUUAACUUGGUGACUCGCCAAAUAAACUAUUGCGCAUCUAUUUUCUUCAUGUCGAGUUCGCUCACAUGCUUGGCUACUGCUUUUGCACUGGGUGUGUGUAUGGUGCUAGCUCCGGUUGCUAAUGCUACUGGCAUUGCGAUCUGUGUACUCAGUCCUCUCGUGAUGCUAUAUAGAAAUUUUGAAUACUUACUAAAGCUGGUUAUUCUUGCACGGCCAUUAUGCCUUCGAAUGGGACUAUAUCGUGCAUUAAAACAGUUAGCAAUGAUGAUGCUUGACAUAAUUGUCUUUGAACUCUGGCCUUUCGUACUUAUCUUCGGUUGGGCCGCAAUUGCUCGGAAGCUCCGAAACCUCUGA